GAGUUUGAUCCUGGCUCAGGAUGAACGCUGGGUGUGUGCCUAAUACAUGCAUGUCGAACGAAGUACUUUUGUACUUAGCGGCGAAUGGGUGAGUAACACGUACCUAAUCUACCCCUAGGAUUGGGAUAACUAUCGGAAACGAUAGCUAAUACCGAAUAUUCUUUACCUACAUAUGUAGGUUUAGUAAAAGGUCCGUUUGGACCACCAAGGGAUGAGGGUGCGCUACAUUAGUUAGUUGGUAGUGUAAUGGACUACCAAGACGAUGAUGUAUAGCGGGGUCGAGAGGCUGAACCGCCACACUGGGACUGAGAUACGGCCCAGACUCCUACGGGAGGCAGCAGUAGGGAAUUUUCCACAAUGAGCGAAAGCUUGAUGGAGCGACACACCGUGCAGGAUGAAGGCCUUCGGGUUGUAAACUGCUGUUGUAAGGGAAGAAUAGCACUAAUAGGAAAUGAUUAGUGUCUGACGGUACCUUAUCAGAAAGCACCGGCAAACUAUGUGCCAGCAGCCGCGGUAAUACAUAGGGUGCAAGCGUUAUCCGGAAUUAUUGGGCGUAAAGCGUCUGCAGUCGGUUUGAAAAGUCUGAAGUUAAAGCCCGGGGCUCAACCCCGGCCCGCUUUGGAAACUUUCAAACUAGAGUCGUGAAGAGGUUAGUGGAACUCCAUGUGAAGCGGUGGAAUGCGUAGAUAUAUGGAAGAACACCAAUGGCGAAGGCAACUAACUAGGAACGUACUGACGAUCAGAGACGAAAGCGUGGGGAGCAAACAGGAUUAGAUACCCUGGUAGUCCACGCCGUAAACGUUGAUCAUUAGCUGGUGGCAAAGUCACCGGCACAGCUAACGCGUUAAAUGAUCCGCCUGAGUAGUAUGCUCGCAGAGUGAAACUCAAGGAUUGACGG
rnacentral:rRNA from 1 species